CACGUGAAGACGAAGUAAACGCGCGUCAUUCGCAUAGCUACGUUAAUUUUAAUUUUCACUAUUUUUUACUGGGGGAUGGGGGUUUAAUAUAUUUUUUUUGGUAAACAAAGGUAUUAAAUGGGUGGGUGGGGGUUAAUAUUUUCACAUUUACAUCGUUUCAGACGGCUGAAAUUGUCCGUAAGCCUAUCAAGCUCAGCUUCCACCGCCACAGUUCUGAUAAAGCCGGGUAAAAGUGAAAAUGGGGAAAGAAAUGAAAGAGAGGAGCAGUAACACUCUAGCUUCACAGCCAAAACCAGCGAUUAUCUUGCCAAAAACGGUGGAACAAGCGAGGCUAACCCUGGAGAGGAUUGGGUUAGUGUCUGAUCUCAAAACACAUCGAUUUGCUGUUUCUGGCCAACCAAGCAUCAGUCGCAUUAUUCGGAGAAAAGGUGGUGGCGCCAGAGGAUUCUUUGACGGGCGGAGUUGAAAAACAUGCAUGGAAGCAGCGAGAAGCUAGUGGUAAAGGAAAUUGCUUUGAGAUACUUAGAAACCUGUGGAGAAAGCUAGAGCAGGUGCAACAAGCAGCACAAGUUGAACAAGCUAAACACCCUUCUAAUGGUUGUCGAGAGGAAAAACGGUUUGAGAAGAAGUAUGUCCGGAAGAAAUGGGUGAGCAGCAAGGAGCACAUGGAACCUACAUCAACUUUUAAUCUCCAAAAAUCUUCGAGCUUAUUAAUUACUAUGGAUGAUGCACAGAGGGAACAAGGGCUAUAUAACAAUGGUGAAACUCAUUCAACAUCUGAGCAAGAAGAAGCAGCAGCAGAUGGACAAGGCCGUUGCAGUGGAAUAAAAAACAAGUUCAAGGGAGAUGAUGAUCAAGAAGAAGGAAACACCAUCUCUGAAGCUGGUUUGAACCGAGCCGUAUUGGAAUCUGAUAUUCUUGGUGAAGAGAUGAUUGCUUCCGAGUCUGAAGAAUUUCUUCCUCUUCUCGAAGAGACUGAAACAGAGGAGGAGGGUGUUGUUUCUAAUGCAUCUAGGUGCAACCAGUGGUGGAAUUUCAAAACUCGACCUCGUACGUCCAGAGGGGUAAGAAGACAUGUUCAAUGGAGCAACAAAAGGAAGAGAAACUGCAUGUCGUUUGAAGAAACACAGUGCAACCGCAAGAUCCUUAUCCUCGCUGUUGAAGCAAUUACACAUCAAUUGGAUCGCUUAGACGUUAGCAUGGAGGAGAAGAGCUCCUACAAGUAGUCCUCUUCUUUCAUAUUUUGUCAACUAGUCUACAGACUAUAUACUAGUUUUUUUUUUUUUGGACGAAACAGACUAUAUACUAGUUAAGAAUGAAAUUAAAAACGAAUCGUUACUAUAAA